rnacentral:pre_miRNA from 1 species
AAUUGAUGAUGACGAUGACGAUGACGAUGAUGACGACGAUGAUGAUGAUGAUUUAUUAAACCAUCCUAUUGACAGAAUCGAUGGGUUCCGAGACAUCUAAUGGCCAAAACAUCAACAACAACAACAACAACAUCAUCGUCGUCGUCGUCAUCAUCAUCCUCGUCAUCAUCAUCA